rfam:Mycobacterium sp. GA-1999 GCID_NTM_00005_NODE_1.ctg_1, whole genome shotgun sequence.
ACACAGGGAAGGAGGUGGUCCGAGAUUUUGAGUGACUUAUGGACUUGUGAGGUGGCUGCGAGCUAGCAGCGCCAGGGGAAUGAGCUGACGGCUCUUCGCGCUCUGCGCGCGCUGGCGAAUUCCCCGCAGUCACCCGGCCCCCGAGCCCCUCGGUUUUGUCCGCCAGGAACACACGGCUCGGGGGCCGCCCCAU